UAGGUGACCUGCGGAAGGAUCAUUACGAAAUUCGGUGCGCUUCGGCGCUGCCUUAUUCACCCACCCUUUGUCUACGUGUACCUCCAUAGCUUCCUCGGCGGGCUCGCCCGCCGCCAGGAACCCACGAAACCCCUUGCAUUAUACACGAAAACUUCUGAUAACAAACCUAAAUUAUCACAACUUUCAACAAUGGAUCUCUUGGUUCUGGCAUCGAUGAAGAACGCAGCGAAAUGCGAUAAGUAGUGUGAAUUGCAGAAUUCAGUGAAUCAUCGAAUCUUUGAACGCACAUUGCGGCCAUAGGUAUUCCUUUGGCCAUGCCUGUUCGAGCGUCAUUUACACCCUCAAGCCCAGCUUGGUGUUGGGCGUCUGUCCCGCCGUUUUCGCGCGCGGACUCGCCUCAAAGUCAUUGGCGGCGGUCGUGCCGGCCCCUCGCGCAGCACAUUUGCGCUUCUCGGAGGCCCGGCGGAUCCGCGCUCCAGCAAAGACCUUUCAUGACUUGACCUCGGAUCAGGUAGGGAUACCCGCUGAACUUAAGCAUAUCAAUAAGCGGAGGAAAAGAAACCAACAGGGAUUGCCCUAGUAACGGCGAGUGAAGCGGCAACAGCUCAAAUUUGAAAUCUGGCCC
rnacentral:rRNA from 1 species